AAUUCGUUUCUUUUAUCCUCAUCUAUUGGGAAAUGAUUUACAUUUUCACUACAGACCUCGCGUUCUUUGAAGGACUUUGGGAAAAACCCACGUCUCGCGUGUUGCCGCGCUUUAGAAUCUCUGCAAACUGUUUAUACGCAGGCGAUGUUUCACAGUUCAAAACAAAAAAAAUGUUUUUCAGGCUUCCGUUUCGGCCGAGAUCAACGAAAAGGAUCUGCACAUCAAAGCGCUAAAAUAUAAAAUGGUGUGGGCAAUCGAUCGAUUCUUCUCUCGUUUCAAGCGAUAGGUAAAGCAUCCUGUCCCAACAAUGUACGACACCGAAAAAAAUUGGCUUUCAAUUGCCUAACCGAGUAAAACAAUGUGACAGUGCAUAGCAAUUGAUGUCGGGGUCAAUUAAAACAUCUACUUCAUUCCAAUAGCCACCGUUCGAACGUAUAGAAAGCUCCACUCUGUGAAAACAUGUGUCUAUAACCACUAGAUGUUCACGCUUAUUUUGUUGGCCGUUGUUUCCUAUUCGAUUCCAAACUUUUCAGCGAUUUCAAUUCGACGUGACAUAAACAAGACAUCAGUGCCAACAUAUUCACACUUGAUGGCGGACUGUGUGUAUCGCGGGAUAAACAAGACACAUACGAUAAAAAUAACCGGGCAAGAGCCAAGAAAGCGGAUCGAUUUUUUUUUUUUUAAAGGAACUCUCUAGGCAUUUCUUGUUUAACUUCGUUUCGGCUGCAGAUGAAACGAGAAUAACAAGACUCAGGGAAAAAAAAAAGAAAAAGAAAACAGGAGGGUGGCGGCAGUAGCAAAGGUUGUUGCUUCUCUAUAGUUAUUAGAACUUUCCCCCUUUUCCUUUUCAUCUUCAACAUUGUGUAGAUACAUUUAAUGCUCCAAUCAAAAACAUUCCGUCGCUCUAUGUAGUCCACCACAAAAGGUUUAAUACGAGAAGGACGUUAACGGCCAGUAUAUAUAUACACGAGUUGAAGGAAUAAGAAAAAAGAAUUAAAUCUGUUUCUUUUUUCUGAUGGUGAGAUGAUGGCCGGCAACAAGUUUUUUGUUAUAAUUCUUUUCUUCUUAGGCCUUUCCCUUCAAAAUUAUUUUCUCCCCCCAUAGUUUUUCAUUUCUUCUAUCCGUUAUAUUUUCAGAAAAGAAAAUGUGGUCAGUGGGAAGAACCAAUCAGCAUAAUAAAUGGGCACGCGGAGAGGCCCGGCUUAUAUCCAGCGAGAGAAAGAGGGUUUUAUGUUUAAAUAUAAUUACCCGAAAGCAAAAUAGCCAAACCGGCGCCUCCAUGACGACGGCAACCAAGAAGGGAGGGGGGGGGGAUUAUACUUAAGAAAAUACAAAAGAAACUCCAGACUGACCAUAGAUCAGAUUUAUGCCUCUGAGUUAUUGUCUUACCUUCCCCUCAGAUUAUUUGAUCCGAUACCUUUUUUUUUUUUUUCCUGUUAACCCGAGCGAUAUGGAUUUUCUUGUUGUUUGGUCUACCCGAACUAAAAUCUUUUUCCUCCUUUUUCUUUUUCAGGACUCGCCAAUGUUUUUCAAUCCGCCUGUCUAAUAUGGUCUGCGUAGACGUUUAUAUAUGUAGGAGGGUGCGGGAAUUCAUUUUUCCGGGCUCGUGCACGAAAUCAGCCAUCGUUCACACCGGCACAAGCGCCAGUGACUGUGAAAGAGGGACGCAGGAGACCGAAAGCUGAUGUCUCAGAGGAGAUGGGAUCCGAGUCACUGAAUUCCCUUCUCUUCCCCAGAAACAGGGAAAAGCAAUCAUUGCACUAUAAAAACUAUUUUCAGCCUUCCUUUAACCAUUCCAAAAUAAAAGCCUCCCCCCUCCACCCUCACUCUUUGACCAGUUGCUUUUUUCUACUUCAUCGAAACCCCUAACGGCUAACCCCUUUUUGUUUUCUGUUACAGAAAGAAGACGCUUACGUAAUGAAUAAAAAGGAUCGCCUAUAGAAUGACAGCUGCAACAAAUACGAGGAAGACCUGACACGUAACGCAAAUAAUACGACGGUAAAUAAUUUUUGAUAGAGUUCAGUACCUGAUUUAGAUGGCAGAAGCGAAGAGUGCGGCUGAGGAAGGUUCGUGUGCGACCGGAAUCGAGUGCGUCUGAGAGCUGACUGCUUCCUCGCUCGCCGUUCGAAAAGACUUUUUAGUUUGGGAGGCAAGCGGGUGGAGAAAGGGGAGGAUAUGUUGCUGUUUGGCCCUCACUGACUGGUAAAGCUUCCUCUCCCGUCUGCGCCGUUAGAAGUGAGGAAAAACACGAUCUUCUUGUGCGCGCCACCAAUCACCGAACAGACGGGCCAUUUCCGCCCAACGUUUGGCCACGUUCUUUUAUUUAUUUUAUUCCUUUUUUUCGUUUCCCUUUUGUUUGUUUUUUGAAAUUUUAACCACCAUUUCAAUUCUGAACGUAAACUGUCAAAUAAUC
rnacentral:lncRNA from 1 species